rnacentral:rRNA from 1 species
AUGCGCAUUUGGGGGGCACGGGAUGGAGGUAGAUGGCUGGUGAGGUGGGGCGGAGGCCGCGACAGCGGUGAACAACAGUUGAAUCCAACCGACGAUGAGGGAAGGCGCCGCUGCUGCUGGGCUUCGAGCUCCACCGCGCCCAUUUCGUGCUACACUGGGAACGGAGGGGGAGCGCGUAGCUGUGGUCCCUGGCGCGGCUCGGCCUCUGCGGUGGACGCCGACGCAAGACAGAGCUGUUUGACCCCGAGCGCAAGCACCACGUCGGCAGCGCGACAGCGACAACCGGGUGAGCCAGGUUGGCAGCGUGACUGCGACCCCCUUUUUUGUCGUUGUGUGGAGGGGAUGAGAAGCAGGCGGCGGCCAUGGCGGGGCAGCAACGGCGCGUGGACGCUGCUCGGACGGCCGGCGACAACGCUGCUUCCCUCCUGCAGCUCCAUCCCCGCUCAUCACGCGCGGAGCCCUGUGUGCAAAUCCUCCACCCCGCUCAUGCAAAGUUUGUUCAGGUAA